rnacentral:rRNA from 1 species
AACGAACGCUGGCGGCAUGCCUAACACAUGCAAGUCGAACGAGACCUUCGGGUCUAGUGGCGCACGGGUGCGUAACGCGUGGGAAUCUGCCCUUGGGUUCGGAAUAACAGUUGGAAACGACUGCUAAUCCCGGAUGAUGACGUAAGUCCAAAGAUUUAUCGCCCCAGGAUGAGCCCGCGUAGGAUUAGCUAGUUGGUGAGGUAAAGGCUCACCAAGGCGACGAUCCUUAGCUGGUCUGAGAGGAUGAUCAGCCACACUGGGACUGAGACACGGCCCAGACUCCUACGGGAGGCAGCAGUGGGGAAUAUUGGACAAUGGGCGAAAGCCUGAUCCAGCAAUGCCGCGUGAGUGAUGAAGGCCUUAGGGUUGUAAAGCUCUUUUACCCGGGAUGAUAAUGACAGUACCGGGAGAAUAAGCUCCGGCUAACUCCGUG